AGACUGUCGAUGGUUGUUGGACUUUUCUCCACGUCUUUCGAAUACAGGCUACUUUUUUACUUUAUAUUUUUUUCUCUUUCAUUGCGCUAAAAACUCUAACAUUAAUGGUGUCAUGUGACUUGGAUGACAGAGCGCAUCAGCUCCUAAAAAAUUCCUCCCAGUUGGAGCUACCCUGCCUAAGAACCACCUUUUUUUCCCCCUCCAGGACUGUUUACUUGCCACUGCUAAUCCGCUAAUCCAUAUGCAACCACGACCUUCCUCAUUCAUCACAGCAGUGACACUUGGAGAUCUGAGACAGGCAAAUUGGGACAAGGCAGAACUGCCUGAGCCCUUCCUGGACCAUGCUUCAAGUGCAACAAAGGAGGAUAUUGGGCAAGAGAGUGCCCCAACCCUGGCAUUCCUCUGGGGCCUUGCCCCUAUUGCAAUCUCAAGGGGCAUUGGAAGAGUGACUUUUCUAGCUGCCAGAGAGCAGGAAAUCAUCUCAAGGACUACAACUAAGGUGGAGCAGCCCCUAACUGGUCUUCUUGGCAACACCAACAGUGGUCAAAGUUGCUGGACUGCCAUCCUGGUUCCACAUCACUCAAGCUAAGUGGUGCCUUCCCAUCCCUGAAUCUAAACACCCUGAGUGGUCACCUCACCUUCUAUCUCCCACCCAUCUCUGUCUCACCAAGGCCUCACUGCCAUAACUCUCAGGCUAUAUCAUGUUUUGCCAUCCUAUUUGGUUUUUGAUCCCUUAUAUUCUAUUAGUUAAAUUUUUCACUAUAACUAUCUUUGUUCUCUCCGCCCUCAGCUGUUUGGUUAAGUAUGAGAUCCCUGUGGGUUUAGGCUCUUAUGUCCCUUAUAGUGACACAGCCACGGACCUGCCCUCCUAUAUUCUGUAAUUUCCCAAAUAUUAUUCAAUCAUCAGGCCUUUAUCUCUCAUGCUUCUUAUUCUUUCCAGCUCAACUCCUAUACCAAAGACAAGCACUACCUACCCAUAAUUUUAACUUUUACCCUUUCAGAUGGGGGACUAAUUACCUCUCAUAACUUCACUCUUCCUAACCCCACACUUAUUUUUCAGAAUUCUAUCUCACCAUAGUCCCAAUGGAACAGCAUAUUUAAAUCAAAGGCACCUUUCCUUCUACCUCCCCUGUGUCCUUAACUAUGCCUCCUCAUAGCACCUUGUCUCUUUGUUUUUCCAGCCUAGGAUGUGGGCAUUCACUGAUGAUAUUGUCCUGGCUGAAACACCUGGUACCAGCUUCUGCAUGGACAUCAAUCAUCAUCCUGUCAACCUUCCUAAACCCCAAUAAGGCACCCUCUUUCAGCAGGAAGUAGUAAGAGAGAGAUUUUGCCCUUUUCCUAACAAUAAAAAGAUGGGAAUGAAAGAGUUUUGCCCUAGAAUAAGUUACACAAUAUGAAGGCAGUGGGAGGAAGAUCCAAAGAAUGCUUACCUUGAGGUCACUUCCUCCUUCCCCUAUGACAACUUCCUUUUGUCUUUCCCAGUGGUAUGAAAAAAGGUUCCAAUCAGCUCCUCAUGAGUCAUCAAUGCCUGCCCUAAGUGCCACCCUUGGUCAGAGGUUACAUGGAUAUCCUAUACCCCAUAUUCUGGUCAGAGGAGGUUAGAUUGUCUAUGGUUGUUGAACUCCUCUACAUGUCCUUGGGAUAAAGGCUACCUUUUUACUUUAUAUUUUUUUCUCUUUCAUUAUGCUGAAAACUCUAACAGUUCCUGCAUUAGUCAAUAUGCACUCUGUUAGCAAAUGUAACACCAGUGGAAACUGGUAAACCAGUUUUCAAAUGUCAUAUUCAGAUUCAUUCGGGAGAAUGAAGCAAGUCUGUUCAUAACAUCAUUGUUUAUUACUAUAUGAAUAAAGAACUGCUGAUUGAAUUCCAGGAUAAAUUUCUCAAUUGAAAGAAUAAUAAGUCUUUGUAUCUACAAGGGCAUAAACUUGUAUGACAUAUUUUGACCCAAUACUUUUCUAUAAGUCUUUUACAUUCCUGUGACCACCAUGAGAAAUCUGU